AUUGAACGCUGGCGGCAGGCCUAACACAUGCAAGUCGAGCGGAUGAAGGGAGCUUGCUCCUGGAUUCAGCGGCGGACGGGUGAGUAAUGCCUAGGAAUCUGCCUUGUAGUGGGGGAUAACGUCCGGAAACGGGCGCUAAUACCGCAUACGUCCUGAGGGAGAAAGUGGGGGAUCUUCGGACCUCACGCUAUCAGAUGAGCCUAGGUCGGAUUAGCUAGUUGGUGGGGUAAAGGCCUACCAAGGCGACGAUCCGUAACUGGUCUGAGAGGAUGAUCAGUCACACUGGAACUGAGACACGGUCCAGACUCCUACGGGAGGCAGUAGUGGGGAAUAUUGGACAAUGGGCGAAAGCCUGAUCCAGCCAUGCCGCGUGUGUGAAGAAGGUCUUCGGAUUGUAAAGCACUUUAAGUUGGGAGGAAGGGCAGUAAGUUAAUACCUUGCUGUUUUGACGUUACCAACAGAAUAAGCACCGGCUAACUUCGUG
rnacentral:rRNA from 1 species